GCAUGGCCGAAUUCUGUACCGACCAGCCUGUGUCGGCUACAGUCAGACACCAUGCGAAAGUCUCGUCUCAUUUCUGCUUUAUAAUCGGAUGAGUGCUACCUACAACUUCAUCCAGCUGUGCAAAAAUGAGUACAAUA